rnacentral:misc_RNA from 1 species
GGGAGUGCAAGUUUUACAAGGAGGAGUUGUCAAACAGUCCUUGAAGCCCAUUUGCUUUCAAUUGGAAGGAUAAUUGCUCCCAUCUUACCCCAUUUGGCCGAGGAUAUGUGGCAGCAUCUUCCUUUUCAGUAUACUGCUGAAGAUGGGCAUGUUGCUAAAUUUGUUUUUGAGUCAAGAUGGCCUGAACUAGAUACAGAGUACCUUUCCUUUCCAGAGGAAGAAGUUGACUUUUGGGGAAAAAUUCUUGAGCUAAGGACGGAAGUUAACAAAGCAUUAGAGGUAGCUCGAAGUGGAAAAUUGAUUGGUUCCAGUUUAGAGGCCAAGGUGUAUCUCCAUUGUUCUAAUGAAAGACUGGCUGAGAGACUAAACAACAUGUGCGAACCUACAAAUGAGGCAG